GAUCCUGGCUCAGGACGAACGCUGGCGGCGUGCUUAACACAUGCAAGUCGAACGAGAAUCUGCGGAAAGUAGGAUUCGUCCAAUUGAAGCAGAGGACAGUGGCGGACGGGUGAGUAACGCGUGAGGAACCUGCCUUUCGAGAGGGGGACAACAGUUGGAAACGACUGCUAAUACCGCAUAACAUAUAGAUGUCGCAUGGCAUUUAUAUCAAAGAUUUAUCGCUGAAAGAUGG
rnacentral:rRNA from 1 species